rnacentral:rRNA from 1 species
ANCUGGCAAGGUCGAACGGUAACGCGGGGCAACCUGGCGACGAGUGGCGAACGGGUGAGUAAUAUAUCGGAACAUACCCUAGAGUGGGGGAUAACGUAGCGAAAGUUACGCUAAUACCGCAUACGAACUGAGGUUGAAAGUGGGGGAUCGCAAGACCUCAUGCUCAUGGAGUGGCCGAUAUCUGAUUAGCUAGUUGGUAGGGUAAAAGCCUACCAAGGCGACGAUCAGUAGCUGGUCUGAGAGGACGACCAGCCACACUGGAACUGAGACACGGUCCAGACUCCUACGGGAGGCAGCAGUGGGGAAUUUUGGACAAUGGGCGCAAGCCUGAUCCAGCAAUGCCGCGUGAGUGAAGAAGGCCUUCGGGUUGUAAAGCUCUUUUGUCAGGGAAGAAACGGUGGUUCCUAAUACGGACUACUAAUGACGGUACCUGAAGAAUAAGCACCGGCUAACUACGUGCCAGCAGCCGCGGUAAUACGUAGGGUGCAAGCGUUAAUCGGAAUUACUGGGCGUAAAGCGUGCGCAGGCGGUUAUAUAAGUCAGAUGUGAAAUCCCCGGGCUCAACCUGGGAACUGCAUUUGAGACUGUAUGGCUAGAGUGUGUCAGAGGGGGGUAGAAUUCCACGUGUAGCAGUGAAAUGCGUAGAUAUGUGGAGGAAUACCGAUGGCGAAGGCAGCCCCCUGGGAUAACACUGACGCUCAUGCACGAAAGCGUGGGGAGCAAACAGGAUUAGAUACCCUGGUAGUCCACGCCCUAAACGAUGUCUACUAGUUGUCGGGACUUAAUUGUCUUGGUAACGCAGCUAACGCGUGAAGUAGACCGCCUGGGGAGUACGGUCGCAAGAUUAAAACUCAAAGGAAUUGACGGGGACCCGCACAAGCGGUGGAUGAUGUGGAUUAAUUCGAUGCAACGCGAAAAACCUUACCUACCCUUGACAUGGAAGGAAUCCCGAAGAGAUUUGGGAGUGCUCGAAAGAGAACCUUUACACAGGUGCUGCAUGGCUGUCGUCAGCUCGUGUCGUGAGAUGUUGGGUUAAGUCCCGCAACGAGCGCAACCCUUGUCAUUAGUUGCUACGAAAGGGCACUCUAAUGARACUGCCGGUGACAAACCGGAGGAAGGUGGGGAUGACGUCAAGUCCUCAUGGCCCUUAUGGGUAGGGCUUCMACGUCAUACAUGGUA